rfam:Gossypium raimondii Chr11_contig_15, whole genome shotgun sequence.
UGUUAAAAGCUUAUCUAUUUCUACUGUUUAAAAGUUAAUGUGGCUGGCAAAAUUACCUGACAGUUACAAGUGAUUACAAGUGAUGUGCCAUCUGUACCUCAUUCUAACCUAGACGGAUCAGUUUUUAGUAGUAGAAUUGAUGAAAUUUUUAACA